rnacentral:tRNA from 1 species
CGGGGUGUAGCGCAGUUUGGUAGCGCGUUUCGUUCGGGACGAAAAGGUCGCAGGUUCAAAUCCUGUCACCCCGACCA